rnacentral:rRNA from 1 species
UACGUAGGGGGCAAGCGUUGUCCGGAUUUAUUGGGCGUAAAGAGCUCGUAGGCGGUUUGGUAAGUCAGGUGUGAAAGCCCACGGCUCAACCGUGGAGGGUCAUUGGAAACUGGGGAACUUGAGUGCAGAAGAGGAAAGUGGAAUUCCAAGUGUAGCGGUGAAAUGCGUAGAGAUUUGGAGGAACACCAGUGGCGAAGGCGACUUUCUGGUCUGUAACUGACACUGAGGCGCGAAAGCGUGGGGAGCGAACAGG